UGCCUGUCUUGGGGUUUCUGUGUGAAUUGGGGUCUCGGCUGUGGUGGGAGGAGAAGGAGAUCCUGGUAAGGGAAGUCCUGAUUUGGUGGUUCUAGGAGGAGGCUGAUUUGGUGCUGGAUACAUCCCUGUGUGUUCUCCCACUGUGCGUAUUUAUUUGUAUUUGUGGAACACCAAAUAAAGAGCUGGGGGGGAGGAUUUAGAAGAAAGAUCCCUGUAAGAAGGAUGUUGGAAAAUGUGGCAGGAUUGCCUUGAUUAAUCACUAUAUGCAAAUGAAUAAAGAAUGGGAGAAGCGGACCGGCACAGAACUUCCUGGUUCCCCCUUUGCUUCUGGCACACACCCAGCAUUCCCAAGGACCCGGUGUUAAUGUGGUUCCCAUCUGCCAGUACUUCCUAUCCUGGGGAUAAAUCAGUUCCCUCUGGCUGCUCCUGUGCUGGUGUAAAAACAGACCCAUCCAGGAGGCUUCUGUGUGACCCCUCAGGAUUUUGUUCCUACCUUGGGACUCCAAAGGUGGCAUGAAUUCAAUGCAAGCAAUGGGAAAUUAAAAAUAUUAAAAGGCCCAGUGUGGGGAAAACGGGUGAGGAGCCUGGGAUGGUCAGAGCAGGUAGUUCUCCAGCCCUGUGAUUCAUUUAAUUCCUUCUGCCCCGGGGGCUCCCUCUGCCCCGUGGGUUCCUUCUGCCCCGGGCCUUUGCCGGUCUCCGGAGGCACGGGCCUCGCUGUCUGUUCAUCACUCAGGGCCACCCUGGCCCGGUUCUCCUGUUCCCGCUGCCCCUGGGCCCGGUUCUCCCGUUCCCUGCUAUCCACUCACUCCCGGUUCUCCCGUUCCCGGUUCUCCCGUUCCCUGCUGCCCACUCCCAGUUCUCCCGUUCCCACUCCCCCGCUCCCGGUUCUCCCGUUCCCCACUGCCCCCGGGCCCAUUUUCCCGUUCCCUGCUACCCAACUCCCCGUUCUUCCGUUCCCCGCUGCCUACUCCCGAUUCUCCUGUUCCUACUCCCCCAUUCCCGGUUCUCCCAUUCCCGUUCCCCACUGCCCCGGGCCCGGUUCUCCCGUUCCCCACCCCCCUGGGCCCGGUUCUCCCAUUCCCGCUGCCCACUCCGGUUCUCUCGUCCCCACUCCCCCGCUCCCGGUUCCCCCAUCCCCACUCCCCCACUCCCGGUUCUCCCGUCCCCACUGCCCGCUCCCGGUUCUCCCGUUCCCCACUGCCCCGGGCCCGGUUCUCCCGUUUCCCCACUCCCCCGUUCCCGGUUCUCCCGUUGCCCACUCCCCCGCUCCCGGUUCCCCCUUCCCCACUCCCCCGUUCCCGGUUCUCCCGUUCCCCGCUGUCCGUUCCCGGUUCUCCCGUUCCCCACUGC
rnacentral:lncRNA from 1 species